GCCGUCUAACCUACAACAAGUAUUCGUAAAUGUAAAAUUAUUAUUUCUGUGUUCAACAGAUUCUGUAUAUAAUUUCUUCGCGUGUUUCUUUUUAUACCAUAAAGUUUGGUUCUUCAUCACGGAUAAUAUUAAUAAAAUCAGUGCUAAUAUAUAUAAAAGGACGCCGAUUUUUUCGCCGUGAAGAAAGUUGAUAAAAAGUUUCAAAAAUGGUUGAACCUUAAAACUAUUCACGCUAAAAACAAGAAUUGAAUACGCUCAAGCUCAACAAUAGAGCAGCAAUACUUAUUAUUGGUGAAUUGAGUGAAUGCACGCAGAUUUCAUUUGAGAAGAAGUUAGGCGCACGAGGCUCCAGAGUUUGUCAUCGCUGUUAUUCGUGUUACUGGGGCUCAUCUGAGAAUUGGAGCACACCUGGCACAGAAGGCUAUGUCGCACCUUAUACAAUAACAACACAAGACACUGUCAUACAAGGGUUUGGAGCACCGGAGUGGCGUGAAAGCGGUAUUUACGACAAUUGUAACUUGUAAGAUUUUACCUGAAGCCAAGUACAUUGAAUUGUUACUCAUUUGUAUUUAGAAGACUAUUGGAAUCCUGAGAAGCGUAUCAGAAAUUUGAAGUUAAGAUGUUUGUCCAAUUGGCGUCAUGUUAAUACUUUAAAUCUCUUUGGAGUCUUGCAAACUGAUAUUUGUUCAAAUUUCAAUUGCUGUAGUGUUUAUUAGAAAAUAGUAUUAUUACGAUGUUAAAGUUUUGUGUGUGAAGUGAUUUUUGUGAUACAUUCCAAGGAGUUUUUAUUAUCGGAGUAUGGAUGCUGACUUCCAGCUAAUCAAGAAUGAUUGUAAGGCGCUGUGUUUGCCGACAGACAGAAGCUCAAACAACAUGAUAAUGGCGCUGGUUCUUUCGGAAGCCGAUCGGCCAUUAUGCAAUUCUGCGUACAGAGAAGGACAACUAUGUCAUGUGCGAGUGCGCUCGAGUACUAUUUCGCACUCUGUUCCACGCAUAGGAGUUAAUGCGCAAGACAAGGACAAAGAUAUGUCGCAGGCGUAGGCCACGCCCAUCACCGCCCAUCACCUAUCACCUAGUUGCUCUCCCCACCACUCGAAUCGGCCUGCCUGCCAUUGCGAGAGGAUAUCAUUUCGUUUUCGACUGCGGCGGUGUACGGUGUACGGCUAGAAGGGUCUCGGCGAAAUGGACGUAGCCGAGACCGGCUUGUUGCUGUUUGUAAUUGUGCCCUUAUCAAGUCUAAUUUACAUGAGAAAUUGGAACUGAUGCAGCACCGUUUACAGGAGAAAAGUUUGCCGACAGACAGAAGCUCAAACAACAUGAUAAUGGCGCUGGUUCUUUCGGAAGCCGAUCGGCCAUUAUGCAAUUCUGCGUACAGAGAAGGACAACUAUGUCAUGUGCGAGUGCGCUCGAGUACUAUUUCGCACUCUGUUCCACGCAUAGGAGUUAAUGCGCAAGACAAGGACAAAGAUAUGUCGCAGGCGUAGGCCACGCCCAUCACCGCCCAUCACCUAUCACCUAGUUGCUCUCCCCACCACUCGAAUCGGCCUGCCUGCCAUUGCGAGAGGAUAUCAUUUCGUUUUCGACUGCGGCGGUGUACGGUGUACGGCUAGAAGGGUCUCGGCGAAAUGGACGUAGCCGAGACCGGCUUGUUGCUGUUUGUAAUUGUGCCCUUAUCAAGUCUAAUUUACAUGAGAAAUUGGAACUGAUGCAGCACCGUUUACAGGAGAAAAGGUAUGCCCGAUACAAGCUAUACUAUUAAAUGAGCACAUUUGGUUUGUCAUCAUGCUGCCCAAGAGAUACAGUAGUUGCUGUUAAAGUACUUCAUCAAACCCGAUAUUGGUUUCAAUGGCACUUUUGUAGAUGGUGUGUGGUGAGUGAUACUCUCUUCAGCAUGCUCGUCUUCUAGAGCAGGGGUCGGCAAGCUUUUAACUGUAGUGUGCCAAGCCACUCUACC